rnacentral:rRNA from 1 species
AUUGAACGCUGGCGGCAUGCCUAACACAUGCAAGUCGAACGGCAGCAUGACCUAGCUUGCUAGGUUGAUGGCGAGUGGCGCACGGGUGAGUAAUGCGUAGGGAUAUACCUUAAAGUGGGGGAUAACCUGGGGAAACCCAGGCUAAUACCGCACGAGCACUGAGGAGGAAAGCUGGGGCUUGUAAGAGCCCGGGCGCUUUAAGUUUAGCUUACGUCCGAUUAGCUAGUUGGUAGGGUAAAGGCCUACCAAGGCGACGAUCGGUAGCUGGUCUGAGAGGAUGAUCAGCCACACUGGGACUGAGACACGGCCCAGACUCCUACGGGAGGCAGCAGUGGGGAAUAUUGGACAAUGGGGGCAACCCUGAUCCAGCGAUGCCGCGUGUGUGAAGAAGGCCUGCGGGUUGUAAAGCACUUUCAGUGGGGAGGAGGGUUUGAAGGUUAAGAGCUAUUGAACUGGACGUUACCCACAGAAGAAGCACCGGCUAACUCCGUGCCAGCAGCCGCAGUAA